GUUUGUAGGGCGAGGUCAAAUCGAGUGGCGAAAGGCUUGGUGUCUUGUUUACUACUAUUUUUGUGGUGCUCUUGUUUUGUUCCGAAGAGGGUUUCAAACAGAAAGAACCCAUAAUCAAAUUCUCACUCACACACCCAACAAGAUUUUUCACAUAAUUCCAUCUUCAAUUCUUUUCAUAUCUUAUCUCUUCUCCAUGGAUCCCUUUCAUUUCACGCGCCAAGGGUUUGGUUGAGGCUGACUGGACAUGUGCAGUUACUAUUUUAAAAGUCUGUUUAUGUAGUAGUUAUUUUGUCCAUAUUAUAGUUAAUUAUGAACUUAUCCAAGAAAGAAUCCCAAACGGAUGCAAAGCUAUUCAGCCCAAACAAGGCAACCACUCUGAAUCCAAAUGCAGCAGAGUUUGUUCCUUUUGCACUCAGAUCAUCAUUACCAGGAACUACCAGCUCAGUAGAUGCAACAGCAAGGCUUACUACUGCUGGAGCUCUUGGGAAAGCAGUUUUAGAUAGAUCAGAAUCAUCUGUUUCAAAUAAUUCUGAUGAUGAGGUGCACCAAUACUGGCGAUGUCAGCUCCCUGAUGAUAUUACCCCUGAUUUCAAGGUCAUGGGAGAAGAUGAGUCUCAAGGUCUUAAUGAUAAUGACCUUUCUUUAGCGGGUUUAUCCAUACAUGAUGACAAUGAAGCCUCAAGGUUUCCUGCUUCUAAAGGAAGUGGAUAUAUAAUAAAUGAGCACGAGGAAUUAUCUCAACAGUAUAUUAAUGGCAAUAGCUUUGCUGAUAAAUUAAGGUUUUCCAAUUCAAGCUACAGGGAGGACCCACCUUCGGCAAGCUUUUUGAAUGCUUUGGCAAAGCCUUGGGAUAGGUCAAUUGGGAGUGGUGACCAGCAUAUCAGCAGUGGUCAAGAGGGACUUACUUAUGAUGAGAACUCUAGACAUGGAUUCUUAAAUGAUGUUUUGGGUGAAAAUGCAAUUGUGGAUGAUACUGAUUUGAAUCCUUUGGAGUUUUUGGCUUCUCUGUUCCCUGGUUUUGCAGCAGAAAGCCUUGCUGAUGUUUACUUUGCCAAUGGAUGCGAUUUACAUCUGACCACUGAGAUGCUUGCUCAGUUAGAGCUUCAAGUUGAUGGUAGCUUCAGUCAGAAUCUGAAUUCAAAGACUCUAUCGGCUUCCAAUCUCAAUACAAUGGACUUCCCUGCACUUUCUUCACCAGAUGGCCAGACUACUUCUGUAAAAUAUGCUAUAGAUAGUGUCCAACAAAGUGGCAAUCCUUACCGAUCAUCUGAUAGUGAUAUGCUGUUUUUCAAAUCUAGCUCUUCAGUUCCAUCUAGAGGUGCUACUGACUUUGCUUCAGCUGUUAGGAAGUUAGCUUCUCAAGAUUCUGGUGGUAUUUGGAAGUAUGACAAAAAUGGCUCUGGUGAUGCUGCUAUUGGCUCAAGUAGGAGGAUUCCAAAUGUUCUGGCCAGUGGCUACAAUAAUGGACAGGGAAGAGCCAACUUUGGUGAUCGGUUACAGAACAGUGGUUCAGCCCGGGCAGCUCCUGUUUGGCUUGAAACCGGUGAUGCAGUCGCAAAUAUGUACUCGGAGCUGCGGGAAGAGGCUCGUGAUCAUGCACGCUUACGUAAUGCAUAUUUUGAGCAGGCACGGCAAGCCUAUCUUAUUGGCAAUAAAGCCCUAGCAAAGGAACUAAGUGCUAAAGGACAACUGCACAACAUGCAUAUGAAGGCAGCUCAUGGAAAAGCCCAAGAAUCCAUUUACCGUCAGAGGUUUGUUGUUCCCCAAUACAAGCUUAUAUGGUGUUGUGAUGUUAUUAAUAUACUUUGCUACCCCUACACAGCCUGUAUAUGUUGAUGGACAGUUUUCUUUUGUUUGCUGAACUGGCCCCACUCUUUUUUUUUUUUCAAUUCUUAAAACAUUUAUACUUUCCCAUGUAUUUUUUCCUCAAUUUUUUUUAUGCUGAUUGCUUGUCAUUGAGAAGGAUAAUGAUUGUCUCUCGGUUGAGAUGUGUGAACAAUCUGAACCCUUCAAAUAGAAUUUUGUGAUGUCGAUUUGUUAUCCGGUGGCUUCUAAAGAAAACUGUGAAACUUGAGAAUAUCUUUACUCCAUUGAGAGCGUAUACUGCACAAAGUUGCUACAGCUCUUCCUUUUCUUCCUCCACCAGUACAGGCUGCCAAACAGUUUCUUUCUAGAAUGAUUACUUGGAGUUCUAUAUCAUUAAAUCCGGUUGCUCCAGAGAUGCAGGGCAAUGGAAGAGGACAUGAGAGGAUGAUAGACCUACAUGGGUUGCAUGCGAGUGAAGCCAUUCGUGUGCUGAAACAUGAGCUGAGUGUGCUAAAAAGCACGGCCAUAGCUGCGGAGCAACGCUUGCAGGUUUAUAUUUGUGUUGGCACAGGUCAUCAUACCAGGGGUUCCCGCACUCCUGCAAGACUUCCAAUUGCUGUACAGCGUUUUCUUCUCGAAGAGGGCCUUGACUUCACGGAACCUCAGCCAGGCCUUCUUCGUGUUGUGAUAUAUUGAACCAAGUAUGUGUACAAGUUUUUUGACACAGUAUAAAGUCCACGAACUCAAGGACAAUUUACUCAUUGUUGUAUCUGUAUAUGGGAAGUAGAGGCAGUGUCCAGGCCCGAAGAACAGGAAAAAAGAAAACAGUUAGCGGAGCAGGGAAGAGAAGGGUUGUAGCAGAACUGUAUCAUUAAGGUUUAGCUGCGGCAUCAGAUAUGCAUUAGUCAGCAAGACUAGCCCAUGUUUUGGGAUCAUUUUCCUUCUGUUAAUUUUGUACCCUAAUUUUCAUUUCCUCGUUAAAUUCCAUUUUUCUUCUCUUGAUUCAGAUGUAACUGAUAGAACUCAAUUACACAAUAGAUUGACUUUGCAAAUUAGAUUCAAUGCCAAACAAUUUU